AGUGAACGCUGGCGGUAGGCCUAACACAUGCAAGUCGAACGGCAGCACAGUAAGAGCUUGCUCUUACGGGUGGCGAGUGGCGGACGGGUGAGGAAUACAUCGGAAUCUACUUUUUCGUGGGGGAUAACGUAGGGAAACUUACGCUAAUACCGCAUACGACCUACGGGUGAAAGCAGGGGAUCUUCGGACCUUGCGCGAUUGAAUGAGCCGAUGUCGGAUUAGCUAGUUGGCGGGGUAAAGGCCCACCAAGGCGACGAUCCGUAGCUGGUCUGAGAGGAUGAUCAGCCACACUGGAACUGAGACACGGUCCAGACUCCUACGGGAGGCAGCAGUGGGGAAUAUUGGACAAUGGGCGCAAGCCUGAUCCAGCCAUACCGCGUGGGUGAAGAAGGCCUGCGGGUUGUAAAGCCCUUUUGUUGGGAAAGAAAAGCAGCAGGUUAAUACCCCGCUGUUCGGACGGUACCCAAAGAAUAAGCACCGGCGAACUUCGU
rnacentral:rRNA from 1 species